rnacentral:rRNA from 1 species
UAUCAGGAAAUUCAAGAGCGUAUGGUGGAUGCCUUGGCUCUAAAAGGCGAUGAAGGACGCGGCUUGGCUGCGAUAAGCUUCGGGGAGGUGCCUAGCAACCUUUGAUCCGGAGAUGUCCGAAUGGGGAAACCUCAUUGAUUUAAUCAAUGACCGAAUCAGAACAAAGUUCAGUUUUCUGGGAGCGUCCCAGUACUAGAAGCGAAGCUUCAGUAUGGGACAGCCCCGAACCGAGCUUUGCUCUGGUUCGGGGCGCACCCAGGGAAGUAAAACAUUUCAUUACCUGGAGGAAAAGAAAACAAUCCCGCUUUUUGCGGGAAGCAUUUCCUUAGUAGCGGCGAGCGAAAAGGAAAAAGCCCAAACCCAGCCGUACUUUUGGGGAGUAGAAAUUUCUAUUUCUCAAAAGUACAGCUGGGGGUUGUAAGGCAACAAUAUCCCUCACAUGCGAGAUCUUUAAAGUCGGCUGUAAAAAAAUUAUUUCACGACAUAGAGAUUUGGCAUGUGAGGGAAGAAAGUUACAAAAUGUCUUGUUAAUCGAAUUGGCUGGAAAGCCAGACCCUAGAGGGUAAUGGUCCCGUAGAUAAAAAUAAGACAUCUUUUUUGUUGUUGUUCUUGAGUACUUCGAGACACGAAAAGCUCGGAGGAAUCUGCCGGAACUAACCGGUAAGGCUAAAUACUUUUAGAGACCGAUAGUGAACUAGUACCGUGAGGGAAAGGUGAAAAGCAGCCCGGUGAGGGCGGUGAAAUAGACCUGAAACCAUAUGCUUACAAGGAGUCGG